GGAUCCAUUGCUUAGUGGUAGGGCAUUUGAGUAUAGGUCAAGAGGUCACCUGGUUUGAACUCGGUUGGGCCCU